GGUGAACCUGCGGAAAGGAUCAUUACAGAGAACUGAUCUUCGGAUCGAUCUCCCACCCUAUGUUUACAUACUUUGUUGCUUUGGCAGGCCCGCCCUUGGGCCACCGGCUUCGGCUGGUCCGCGCCUGCCAGAGGACCCCAAACUCUUAUUAUCAGUAUUGUCUGAGAAACUAUAUAAUAGUUAAAACUUUCAACAACGGAUCUCUUGGUUCUGGCAUCGAUGAAGAACGCAGCGAAAUGCGAUAAGUAAUGUGAAUUGCAGAAUUCAGUGAAUCAUCGAAUCUUUGAACGCACAUUGCGCCCCUUGGUAUUCCGGGGGGCAUGCCUGUUCGAGCGUCAUUACAACCCUCAAGCUCUGCUUGGUAUUGGGCCUCACCGUCUCCGGUGGGCUUCAAAAUCAGUGGCGGUGCCAUCUGGCUUCAAGCAUAGUAAUACUUCUUGCUUCCGGAGCCCAGGUGGUUACUUGCCAGCAACCCCCAAUUUUUUCAGGUUGACCUCGGAUCAGGUAGGGAUACCCGCUGAACUUAAGCAUAUCAAUAA
rnacentral:rRNA from 1 species